rnacentral:rRNA from 1 species
UACGUAGGGUGCAAGCGUUGUCCGGAAUUAUUGGGCGUAAAGAGCUCGUAGGCGGUCUGUCGCGUCGGCUGUGAAAACUCGGGGCUCAACCCCGAGCCUGCAGUCGAUACGGGCAGACUAGAGUGCUGUAGGGGAGACUGGAAUUCCUGGUGUAGCGGUGAAAUGCGCAGAUAUCAGGAGGAACACCGGUGGCGAAGGCGGGUCUCUGGACAGUUCCUGACGCUGAGGCACGAAGGUCAGGGGAGCAAACGGG